rnacentral:rRNA from 1 species
CAGCAGCCACGGUAAUACGUAGGGUGCAAGCGUUAAUCGGAAUUACUGGGCGUAAAGCGUGCGCAGGCGGUUAUAUAAGACAGAUGUGAAAUCCCCGGGCUCAACCUGGGAACUGCAUUUGUGACUGUAUAGCUAGAGUACGGCAGAGGGGGAUGGAAUUCCGCGUGUAGCAGUGAAAUGCGUAGAUAUGCGGAGGUACACCGAUGGCGAAGGCAAUCCCCUGGGCCUGUACUGACGCUCAUGCACGAAAGCGUGGGGAGCAAACAGGAUUAGAUACCCCCGUAGUCCCUGUCUCUUAUAA